rnacentral:rRNA from 1 species
GAAACUCAGGCUAAUACCGCAUGAGCCCUUCGGGGGAAAGCAGGGGAUCUUCGGACCUUGCGCUAUUGGAUGAGCCUAUGUCUGAUUAGCUUGUUGGUAGGGUAACGGCCUACCAAGGCGACGAUCAGUAGCUGGUCUGAGAGGACGAUCAGCCACACUGGGACUGAGACACGGCCCAGACUCCUACGGGAGGCAGCAGUGGGGAAUAUUGGACAAUGGGCGCAAGCCUGAUCCAGCAAUGCCGCGUGUGUGAAGAAGGCCUGCGGGUUGUAAAGCACUUUCAGUGGGGAGGAAAAGCUCAAGAUUAAUACUCUUGAGUCUUGACGUUAUCCACAGAAGAAGCACCGGCUAACUCUGUGCCAGCAGCCGCGGUAAUACAGAGGGUGCAAGCGUUAAUCGGAAUUACUGGGCGUAAAGCGCGCGUAGGCGGUUUGUUAAGUCGGAUGUGAAAGCCCCGGGCUCAACCUGGGAACUGCAUUCGAUACUGGCAGGCUAGAGUAUGGUAGAGGGGAAGUGGAAUUCCGGGUGUAGC